AAUUCUUCCAUAUGAAGCCUGAAAACCAUGAGGACUGAUUGAGGACUAGGUGAUUCAUGACAGGCAGUCUCAUUUUUCUAAUUCAAGGACAGCCAGCUUGUACAAACCUUAAGUCAAAUUUUCUGUGGUGGCAAUCUGUGCCACCACCA